CUUGCACGCUGGCGGCAUGCUUUACACAUGCAAGUCGAACGGUAACAGGCCUUCGGGUGCUGACGAGUGGCGAACGGGUGAGUAAUGCAUCGGAACGUGCCCAGAGGUGGGGGAUAACGCAGCGAAAGCUGUGCUAAUACCGCAGGUGAUCUGAGGAUGAAAGCGGGGGACCAAGCAGCAAUGUUUGGCCUCGCGCCUCUGGAGCGGCCGAUGUCAGAUUAGGUAGUUGGUGGGGUAAAGGCCUACCAAGCCGACGAUCUGUAGCUGGUCUGAGAGGACGACCAGCCACACUGGGACUGAGACACGGCCCAGACUCCUACGGGAGGCAGCAGUGGGGAAUUUUGGACAAUGGGCGCAAGUCUGAUCCAGCAAUGCCGCGUGCGGGAAGAAGGCCUUCGGGUUGUAAACCGCUUUUGUACGGAACGAAAAGGCUCUGGCUAAUACCUGGGGCUGAUGACGGUACCGUAAGAAUAAGCACCGGCUAACUACGUG
rnacentral:rRNA from 1 species